rnacentral:rRNA from 1 species
UGCCAGCAGCCGCGGUAACACGUACUGUGCGUACGUUAUUCGGAAUCACUGGGCUUAAAGGGUGCGUAGGCGGCUUAACAAGUCAGGUGUGAAAGCUCUCGGCUCAACCGAGGAAUAGCGCUUGAAACUGUUAGGCUUGAGUAUCUCAGGGGUGUGCGGAACUUCCAGUGGAGCAGUGAAAUGUGUUGAUAUUGGAAGGAACGCCGGUAGCGAAAGCGGCACACUGGGGGAUAACUGACGCUGAGGCACGAAAGCCAGGGUAGCGAACGGGAUUAGAUA